rnacentral:tRNA from 1 species
GCGGGGGUGCCGGAGUGGUCAAACGGGCUAGGUUUAGGCCCUAGUGGGUUAGUCCCUACGCAGGUUCGAAUCCUGUCCUCCGCA